rnacentral:rRNA from 1 species
UACGUAGGGGGCAAGCGUUGUCCGGAAUCAUUGGGCGUAAAGAGCGUGUAGGCGGCCCGGUAAGUCCGCUGUGAAAGUCCAGGGCUCAACCCUGGGAUGCCGGUGGAUACUGUCGGGCUCGAGUCCGGAAGAGGAGUGUGGAAUUCCUGGUGUAGCGGUGAAAUGCGCAGAUAUCAGGAGGAACACCAAUGGCGAAGGCAGCACUCUGGGACGUGACUGACGCUGAGACGCGAAAGCAUGGGGAGCGAACAGG